UACAGAGGUCUCGAGCGUUGUUCGGAUUCAUUGGGCGUAAAGGGUGCGUAGGCGGCGAGCUAAGUUUGGUGUGAAAUCCUGGGGCUUAACCUCAGAAAUGCACUGAAUACUGGUUUGCUAGAGGACUGGAGAGGAGAUUGGAAUUCCUGGUGUAGCGGUGAAAUGCGCAGAUAUCAGGAGGAACACCGGUGGCGAAGGCGGGUCUCUGGGCCGAUACUGACGCUGAGGAGCGGAAGCGUGGGGAGCGAACAGG
rnacentral:rRNA from 1 species